GGGGGUAUAGCUCAGCUGGGAGAGCAGCAGACUGAAGUACCUAAAUCUUUGUCUUCUUCUGAAGGUCCCGCGUUCGAUCCGCGGUACCCCCA